GCACUGCUGAGGAGUCCCAUCUUAGGACGAAACGGUCGUUCAGUGC
rnacentral:hammerhead_ribozyme from 1 species